AUUGAACGCUGGCGGCAGGCCUAACACAUGCAAGUCGAACGGUAACAGGAAGCAGCUUGCUGCUUUGCUGACGAGUGGCGGACGGGUGAGUAACGUCUGGGAAACUGCCCGAUGGAGGGGGAUAACUACUGGAAACGGUAGCUAAUACCGCAUAAUGUCGCAAGACCAAAGAGGGGGACCUUCGGGCCUCUUGCCAUCGGAUGUGCCCAGAUGGGAUUAGCUUGUUGGUGAGGUAACGGCUCACCAAGGCGACGAUCCCUAGCUGGUCUGAGAGGAUGACCAGCCACACUGGAACUGAGACACGGUCCAGACUCCUACGGGAGGCAGCAGUGGGGAAUAUUGCACAAUGGGCGCAAGCCUGAUGCAGCCAUGCCGCGUGUAUGAAGAAGGCCUUCGGGUUGUAAAGUACUUUCAGCGGGGAGGAAGGUGUGGUGGCUCCUAUCCGAAGCUAGUGCGGUUCCCAGUAGCAGAGGGUCCGGUCACCCUCGUUCAAGCAGAAGGGGUCAUACGUAGGGUGCCCGUAAUGCAGCUUAAAGGUAAGCCGACGUGGUUCGUGGGUAGAGAGAAGGGAAACCCCCCGGGAACAUCCUGAGGCUUAUCAUAUCGUGGAGUAUUGAGUGGUGUUCCGCCGGUACCAG
rnacentral:rRNA from 1 species